rnacentral:rRNA from 1 species
UACGGAGGGUGCAAGCGUUGCUCGGAAUCAUUGGGCGUAAAGCGCACGUAGGCGGCCUGUUAAGUCGGGUGUGAAAGCCCCCGGCUCAACUGGGGAGGGUCACUUGAUACUGAUCGACUCGAAGGCAGGAGAGGGAAGCGGAAUUCCCGGUGUAGUGGUGAAAUGCGUAGAUAUCGGGAGGAACACCAGUGGCGAAGGCGGCUUCCUGGCCUGCUCUUGACGCUGAGGCGCGAAAGCUAGGGGAGCAAACGGG